rnacentral:rRNA from 1 species
CCUACGGGAGGCAGCAGUAGGGAAUUUUCGGCAAUGGGGGGAACCCUGACCGAGCAACGCCGCGUGAAGGCAGAAGGAAUUCGGUCUGUAAACUUCUGUUAUAAAGGAAGAAAGACGGAUGGAGGAAAUGACAUCCGAGUGACGGUAAGUUAAGAGAAAGCCACGUCUAACUACGGGCCAGCAGCCGCGGAAAUACGUAGGUGGUAAGGGUUACACGGAAUGAUUGGGCGUAAAGAGGGAGCGGGCGGCAGCAAAGGUCUGUGGGGAAAGCCGGAAGCUUAACUUCAGUAAGCCAUAGAAACCGGUGCGCUAGAGUGCAGGAGAGGAUCGUGGAAUUCCAUGUGUAGCGGUGAAAUGCGUAGAUAUAU